rnacentral:rRNA from 1 species
AGUGAACGCUGGCGGUAGGCCUAACACAUGCAAGUCGAACGGCAGCACAGUAAGAGCUUGCUCUUACGGGUGGCGAGUGGCGGACGGGUGAGGAAUACAUCGGAAUCUACUUUUUCAUGGGGGAUAACGUAGGGAAACUUACGCUAAUACCGCAUACGACCUACGGGUGAAAGCAGGGGAUCUUCGGACCUUGCGCGAUUGAAUGAGCCGAUGUCGGAUUAGCUAGUUGGCGGGGUAAAGGCCCACCAAGGCGACGAUCCGUAGCUGGUCUGAGAGGAUGAUCAGCCACACUGGAACUGAGACACGGUCCAGACUCCUACGGGAGGCAGCAGUGGGAAAUAUUGGACAAUGGGCGCAAGCCUGAUCCAGCCAUACCGCGUGGGUGAAGAAGGCCUUCGGGUUGUAAAGCCCUUUUGUUGGGAAAGAAAAGCAGCAGGUUAAUACCCCGCUGUUCUGACGGUACCCAAAGAAUAAGCACCGGCUAACUUCGUG